CAGGUUAACAUGAUGAUUUUAUAGUUCAUCAGACUGACUGUGGUGAUCACCUUUCGCUCCUAUCUGAUUAAUACU